CCUACGGGUGGCAGCAGUGAGGAAUAUUGGUCAAUGGGCGGGAGCCUGAACCAGCCAAGUCGCGUGAGGGAAGACGGUCCUAUGGAUUGUAAACCUCUUUAGGCGGGGAGCAAAGAGAGUCACGUGUGACUCAUUGAGAGUACCCGAAGAAAAAGCAUCGGCUAACUCCGUGCCAGCAGCCGCGGUAAUACGGAGGAUGCGAGCGUUAUCCGGAUUUAUUGGGUUUAAAGGGUGCGCAGGCGGAGGUGCAAGUCAGCGGUCAAAUUGCGGGGCUCAACCCCGUACUGCCGUUGAAACUGCAUCCCUUGAGUGCGCGAGAAGUAUGCGGAAUGCGUGGUGUAGCGGUGAAAUGCAUAGAUAUCACGCAGAACUCCGAUUGCGAAGGCAGCAUACCGGCGCCCAACUGACGCUGAAGCACGAAAGCGUGGGUAUCGAACAGGAUUAGAUACCCCUGUAGUC
rnacentral:rRNA from 1 species